GGGAGCUUGCUCCCCGCUGACGAGCGGCGGACGGGUGAGUAAUGCAUAGGAAACUGCCCAGUAGUGGGGGAUAGCCCGGGGAAACCCGGAUUAAUACCGCAUACGCCCUUUGGGGGAAAGCAGGGGAUCUUCGGACCUUGCGCUAUUGGAUGUGCCUAUGUCGGAUUAGCUAGUUGGUGGGGUAAGAGCCUACCAAGGCGACGAUCCGUAGCUGGUCUGAGAGGAUGAUCAGCCACAUCGGGACUGAGACACGGCCCGAACUCCUACGGGAGGCAGCAGUGGGGAAUAUUGGACAAUGGGGGCAACCCUGAUUCAGCCAUGCCGCGUGUGUGAAGAAGGCUUUCGGGUUGUAAAGCACUUUCAGUGAGGAGGAAAACCUGACGACUAAUACUCGUGAGGCUUGACGUUACUCACAGAAGAAGCACCGGCUAACUCCGUGCCAGCAGCCGCGGUAAUACGGAGGGUGCAAGCGUUAAUCGGAAUUACUGGGCGUAAAGCGCGCGUAGGUGGUUUGAUAAGCGAGAUGUGAAAGCCCCGGGCUCAACCUGGGAACGGCAUUUCGAACUGUCAGGCUAGAGUAUGGUAGAGGAGUGUGGAAUUUCCUGUGUAGCGGUGAAAUGCGUAGAUAUAGGAAGGAACACCAGUGGCGA
rnacentral:rRNA from 1 species